GCAGUGUCCAUUCAUUUUUAUCAGAAGUUUUCCUUUUUUUUUUUUUUUUUUCUUGGGCAUAUCAAAUUUUUAUUUAUUUAUUUAUUUUAUUUUUUUUGCCUGUCCCGUUUGGCUCUUUUGCAUCAGAAUUGUUGUCUAAAGGCAAAGAAAGAUGCCCAACGGAUUUACUUUACCAAAUUGACCAUCCCAGCCUUGCCGUAAUGGUCCAUUUGAUUCACCUUUUAUUGUUUAUUUUAUUUUCACUUACUGAAUACGGGACAGACUUGACUGGGGGAAAGAAGGGGAGAAAGAAAGAGGGAAAGAGAAACAGCUGAGAAGAGGGACGGGGGAGAAGGGCAAAAGACAAAAACCAACAGAACGGGCAGAGAAAAAAAAAUGCAUAUAUCAAUCACCUGGAUCACCUGCUGAGAAAGAAAAAAGAAAACAAGCAGAAGACAACAAGAGUAAUAGAAUAAACAACAUCACAAUGAUAUAUGGGAAUAUGACAGUAAAUACUAAAUAUUAAACAUUAUUGUGCAGCACGUAAGAUCAACAGCACACAGUGUGCUUUGAGGUAGGAGCCAAAAAGGGUGUAGUUUGUGGGUGUGAUCACCCGUGUGUACACCUGUGAGCAUGGACGCGCUUGUUUUUAAAAGGUUCCUUCAUGUAAUGAUCUGCUAGAGGGUGUGGGGGGGCCACAGCCCCGUCCUCCAGGGCAUGAAGCAGGUAUGGAGGAGAUCAAAACUCCAGACAUCCAGAGGCCCCCAGAACACAAGAGACCAAGGAAGACCAACAGAGGGGCAGCCGCGCCACUGUCCCGGAAAGAGCUGAGGAGAGUCCCAGAUGAGGGCUCACUCAGCAGCCGCGGAGCAGAAGCCAGGGGGAGUUGCAGUGACGCGCCCGUGAGCUCCGCCGGCAGCCAGCCGUGCCUGAGUGACCGAGCCCCAGGCCGAGAGGCCGGGGGCACCCCACCUCCGAAGUGGCCCGAGCGAGCCCCAGGCUCCAGGCCCCGAUAAGCGGCCGCCAAGGAGUGAGCCGGUGUGUACCUGGACGCCCAUCCCCAGACACAAAGAACCACCAACGCACCGAUGUCUGAGGGGGUCCGCCACUGGCAGGGGAAGUGGUGGUAGGGGGAGAUAGGCCUCCAAACCUUGGAGGGCCUGAGAUGUCCCCAGAGAGGUGGCGCCUGACACCCAACCUGAC
ensembl:lncRNA